rnacentral:rRNA from 1 species
CCUACGGGAGGCAGCAGUAGGGAAUUUUCCGCAAUGGGCGAAAGCCUGACGGAGCAAUACCGCGUGAGGGAUGACUGCCUAUGGGUUGUAAACCUCUUUUUUCAGGGAGGAAUAAAUGACGUGUACCUGAAGAAUAAGCAUCGGCUAACUCCGUGCCAGCAGCCGCGGUAAGACGGAGGAUGCAAGUGUUAUCCGGAAUCACUGGGCGUAAAGCGUCUGUAGGUGGCUCGACAAGUCAACUGUUAAAUCUUGAAGCUCAACUUCAAAAUCGCAGUCGAAACUAUCGGACUAGAGUAUAGUAGAGGUAAACGGGAAUUUCCAGUGGAGCGGUGAAAUGCGUAGAGAUUGGAAAGAACACCGAUGGCGAAGGCACUUUACUGGGCUAUUACUGACACUCAGAGACGAAAGCUAGGGUAGCAAAUGGGAUUAGAUACCCCAGUAGUCCUAGCCGUAAACAAUGGAUACUAGGUGUUGAACAGAUCGACCUGUGCAGUACCAAAGCUAACGCGUUAAGUAUCCCGCCUGGGAAGUAUGNCGCAGUAGUGAACGUACAACGAAGUAGACGGCGUGAGACGUGCCGACGGACGACCGACGACGGGAGGUAGG